GGUGAGUGAUUUGGGAGCUCUGGGUAGAGGAGGUGUACCUCGGCCUAGUUUGGUUGUGGAACUAGAACAACGCGAGGAAAUCAAUCAAUCUGCAGGAAACAAAAAAUGGAAGUCGAGGUUUAGGAAGAGUUGUCACUUCCCCGACUUGAGUGGUGCAGGCUGGGGGCGGAGACUUGGGACCUAAGAGAGGCCAUUUCUCUCACCUCAGCUCCUUUCCCUUGGACUUCCAAAAGGAAUAAUUUUACUCUCUCCUCUGUUCUCCCCCCAACUCUCAUCCCCGCUAGCCUGCAGACCGCCUGCCCCUUUCCGCAUCUUCUUUUCCCAUCCUGCGAGAGAAACCUAGCUCCCAGAGCCGGUGCAGUCAGUCCCCUCGCCCCUCCCGCCCCUGAGCGGGUCCCCCUCCAGCCGUCGCUGCAUCCACCACCUCGGUUCCACUCAAUCGAUUUUUGCUGCAUGUCAACACUUAUUACCGUUCACAGAUCUUCAGAUCAAGGAAUUUUACUCAAGGAGCUAUACUCAAGGAACCACACUCAAAAAGCCUUAUUCACAUCUGGGUCUGUUUGGAACAGCAAGAUUGUAGCCUUUGAGAUGAUGCUGUAAUGGAACGAGAUUUUUGAUGGUCUUGAGAAUAUAUCACUCUGGGAGAAGACAGCCAUCAUAUAAUGUCAUGAAGAUACUCAUGCAGUCCUAUGGAGAAGUUCAUUGGUGAGAAACUGAGCUAGAAAAAACUUGACAGCCAUGUGAGUGAGCCAUCUUAGAAGCAGACCUUCAGCCUCAGACAGCUUUCAGAGGAUUGUAGCCCCAGCUGAAAUGUCAACCACAAUCUCAUGAGAGACACUGAACCAGAAUCACCCAGCCAAGCUGUUCCCAAAUUCCUGAGCUAUACAGACUGUGUGAGAUAGUAAAUGUUUAUUGUUGUUCUCAGCCACUACUUUUCUAAAUUAUUUUUUCUUUAUUUUUAGACAUAAGAUCUCACUAUGUUGCCCAAGCUGGGGUGCAGUGGUUAUUCAUAGGCACGAUAGUAGCAGACUACAGCCUUGAACUCCUGGGCUCAAGUGUUCCUCCCACCUCAGCCUCUCAAAUAGCCGUGACUACAGACAGGCACCGUGACACCAGGCUAAGUUUUGGGGUAAUUUAUUAUGCAGCAAUCUCAAUAUGAGGCAAUGGUAAGACUGCUUAAAACUAUUAUGUGGUUUUUGUCUGCAUCAAUUGAAUAAAGGUUUCAUAUCAUCUAUUAAUAGUUCA